rnacentral:piRNA from 1 species
UACAGAAGUGCCCGACAAUGUGAUGACUC